rnacentral:lncRNA from 1 species
UUUCAUUGGCUAUCUGCCUAAGGGUCAAAAUCUCGCCUUGGGUCUCUGCUACGUGAUACGCAUUUGGGUGUCUGGACAGAAGUGGAUGCCAGACUUGUCCAUGCAGAAAACUGCCUCCAAUUAAUAUCUGCCUGUUUGACGGUACAGUUCGGUCUGUUCCACGCAGGAGCCCGGCAUGUGCCAUGUAAGUGGGAUGGGGAAGUGUCGGCUGCUACUGGCAUUUCAUUCCAGGUCAUCAGAUGGGUUCUAUUUUCAGGGCCCAUCUAUCACCCCAUCUUGCAGUGUGGAGCCUCGAGUUCUCCAAAUGUCCAGAUCGCAGCUGUCACUGAGGGCAGUUGCAUCUGUUACACAGUAAAGGAGUCCUAGAGAAGUGCUGCCAAGGGGAACUCAUAAAAAAGCCGCUGCUGGAGACUCAGAUGUGCCCUGCUGAGCGAGGCAGUCUCCUCCUACUUACCGUGCUGCAGUGAGCCGCAGUCACCCGCGGGGGAGUUGAAGAAUAAGUUGAAUAUGGUUGAACACGGUGGCAUCAUACUGCUCAGCCAUCUCUGGGGUUAACUGCAGAUGAGAUAAUUCCUGUAUAACUCCUGGAUCCUCUAGGGCAUUCUGCCACUGUAUCCACACUUCAUGGUACAAGGGCGAAUGGACAGAUCUCCAGCUUCCAAGUGAAACGUGAAGGCGACUCGACAAGGAUUUCUGUUAGGACAAUAGUUUUGCUUCAUGAAGACCAGGAAGGCUUGAACUCAGGACAAUGGGUAUCUUGAAUUUACUCAGUUCCCAUCUCUUAAGUUAUUAAACAUUAUUUCCCACCUGUCUUGUGUAUUUUUGCUUGAUCCCUAUAAUAUGGGGGCAGAACCAAGACUCUUUUAUUUGGAAUUAAUGAGGGAUUCCAAAAAUAGUGUUAGCAGUGCUUAACAAAUUUGAAAGAGCAAAGGAACUGAAGCCAGAGAAGACUGAGAUAGGGGAGCUGUUUCAUUGUAUCAAUUUCUAUUCACUUUGUUAAUAAUUGAUGCCACAUUUACUCAUUGUUAUAUAUUAAAAAUACUUGAUUUGCUACAAGGUAAAAAUGACCCAUUGACUUUGUCUCUCA